CUUCCAAACAGUGAUGGAAAACAGUUGUUGGUAAAAGUUGCAGCGCUCAGUAAGCUUAUCGUGAUUGCACGUUCCUGAGAAGAAGCAGACGUUAUCAGUGCAGAGUGGGAAUGUUGUCUAAAAUAGGUUUUCCAAACACUUGAAUCCAUCUGCCAAGGCCGGUUAUCAGCAUGAGAGGAAAGAAAUGUUCUGAGUUUGCUGCAGCCUAAUCAGAAAUAUUCUGAGCACCAAAAUUAAGCCCUUCUCUCUUGUGCAUCAGUAACAGUGGAGAUCACAGGUUUUAUCUCCAAGUUUCUCAGAUGAGAGCAUUUGCAAUUCCCCGAAGCAGAAAAUAAAGAGGCGAAUCCAGAGCAGCGGGAAUGAGGUUUCACUGCAAGCAUCAAAACAAAACCUCAACAGAAAUCGAUAUCACUUUGCAAUUUAACAAGAAGCAAAUAUUUUGACUGGAGAAGAAGUAAAUAAAAAGAAAAUAGAUGCAUUCUGAACGUUGGUCUCAAAACUCGUCAUCUCCUACAAACUCCAACCACUGAAGUGAAACCUGUUGGUCACUGUCAUAGUGUGUUUUUCAGAACACAUCUGGCAUUUGUUCUGCUGUGUGAGGAAAGCUAUCAGUGCUUCUUUUCCAGCGUUGCUAUCAACUCACAGACCACGCUUCACAGAACAAACUGUGCCAGCAAAAUGGGCACGAGCCUCCCUGAGGAGAGGAAUUGAAUAAGUAUUGAUAGGGCAUUUUUAAAGGGUGAAUUGAAAUAUUUUAAGCGCAAGGCAUUAUAGUUGAUAUAUGAAAAAGAAAAAAGACACAACUAUGUAAUGUUUGUUCUUCCUAUGGCAAGGCAUGCAAAGUGCCAGGAGGAAUCCAAGGAGAUGUAUUCUGCCCAUUAACUAAACACUUACUAGCAAUAGAGAGCCUGCUAAUGAGACAGGCUCACUUCAGCACUGAAGCAAAUUUGACUGUUGAAUUUAAUAAUGAGGCUAUUAUGUUCCACAAAUUGGCACAUGCGCAUCGUGAGUGUUUUUAAUAUUUCAUUUUUUUGUGUGUCUGCUUCUCAUUAAAAGCAAAGCAAUAAAU
rnacentral:lncRNA from 7 species